rnacentral:rRNA from 1 species
GACGAACGCUGGCGGCGUGCUUAAUACAUGCAAGUCGAACGGUAAGGCCCUGCUUUUGUGGGGUGCUCGAGUGGCGAACGGGUGAGUAACACGUGAGUAACCUGCCCUUGACUUUGGGAUAACUUCAGGAAACAGGGGCUAAUACCGGAUAGGAGCACCUGUGGCACGGUGGGGGUUGGAAAGUUGCGGCGGUUGGGGACGGACGCGCGGUUUAUCAGCGUGUUGGUGGGUAAGUGGCUUACUAAGGCUUUGACGGGUCGCCGGCCUGGGAGGGUGACCGGCCACAUUGGGCCUGAGGUACGGCCCAGACUCCUACGGGAGGCAUCGGGGGAACAUAGUGCGCAAUAGGCCGCAGCCUGGUACAACGACUCCGGGUGCGGAAUGACGGCCUUCGGGUUGGAAACCGCUUUCGCCUGGGACGAAGCGUGAGUGACGGUAAUGGAUCAAGAAGCAACGGCUAACUACGUG